GCACGGUUGGCGCAGUGGUUUAGCUUGCGCACUUCAUAACAUUGUAUUGCUGAGGGCAGGGCACAUAACCUGAGGACGCAAGUUCGAACGGGGGGCGGCUUGGCAACCGCAGUGCAAAACAUUGUUGUGCGGGACCCGGGUUCGAAUCCCGGACCGUGUA
rnacentral:tRNA from 1 species